AUUGAACGCUGGCGGCAUGCCUAACACAUGCAAGUCGAGCGGAGCGGCGGACGGGUAAGUGAUGCCUAGUAAUCUGCCUGGUAGUGGGGGAUCCCGUACGGAAACGGGCGCUAAUACAGCAUGCGAUCAGAUGACACUAGGUAGGAUUAGCUAGUGGGUGGGGUAAAGGCCUACCAAGGCGACGAUCCGUAACUGGUCUUAGUGGAUGAUCAGUCACAAUGGAACUGAGACACGGCCCAGACCCCUACGGGAGGCAGCAGUGGGGAAUAUUGGAAAAUGGGCGAAAGCUGGAUCCAGACACGCCGCGUUUGUGAAGAAGGUUUUCGGAUUGUAAAGCACUUUAAGUUGGGAGGCGUUACCAACAGAAUAAGCACCGGCUAACUACGUGCCAGCAGCCGCGGUAAUAC
rnacentral:rRNA from 1 species